GAAUGGAUUGAAAAAAUGCAUACUUAAUGAUUCUACAAAAUAUUGUGAUUACAGGUCAAAUUGUUGUUUAAUCCGUAGUCAGUGGGAGAAGUUGACUGUUAAGGUGUUUGAGAUAAAGGUGAGGAGAGGCCCUCGUCAUUGUCCGGAUAUAUAGUAGUUUGUAGUAUCAGCUAAAUAGAAUGUAAAAAUAUGAUAAACUGUAUUUAGUUUCGCAUGUCCGAAAAGAAUAUAUAAAAUUGUCAAAAAGUACAUAAAAAAA